CUUGAACGCUGGCGGCAGGCCUAACACAUGCAAGUCGAGCGGAGCGGCGGACGGGUGAGUAAUGCCUAGGAAUCUGCCUGGUCGUGGGGGAUAACGUCCGGAAACGGGCGCUAAUCCCGCAUACUAUCAGAUGAUGCUCGGUCGGAUUAGCUAGUUGGUGGGGUAAAGGCCAAACCAGGCGACGCUCCGUAACUGGUCUGGGAGGAUGAGCAGUCACACUGGAAGUGAGACACGGUCCAGACUCCGACGGGAGGCAGCAGUGGGGAAUAUUGGACAAUGGGCGAAAGCCUGAUCCAGCCAUGCCGCGUGUGUGAAGAAGGUCUUCGGAUUGUAAAGCACUUUAAGUUGGGAGGCGUUACCAACAGAAUAAGCACCGGCUAACUUCGUGCCAGCAGCCGCGGUAAUAC
rnacentral:rRNA from 1 species